AGAGGUCUCGCACAGCUCGGCACAGCCCCGGCAGAAAUUCCUAUGACAGUGGCGUUGUAGACCAUCAGCCCUGUCCCACAGGAGAGCCACCAGCCGUGUGUGGCUAUUGAGCCCUUGAAAGGUGGCUAGUGCAUCUGAGGAGCUGAAUUUUAAUCUUUUUGAAUUUGAAUGGAUUUGUUUGAAUAGCCCCAUGCGACUAGAAGCCAGUUUCGGACAGCACAGAUGGGACAGACCAGAGGGCUUUGGCCAGACCCGAGAUACGAGGAGCACAGGCCCGUUCCGCGUGCUGGAGUUCGGGAAAACUGGUUGCUGAGGAUCAGAAGUGUGUGGAGCCUGCCGGUCACAAUGCCAGCUGAGGCCAAGCAGGUGACAUGAGUGACGCGGUUGGGGCAGGGGUGGGGGGGGGCAGAUUGUAGCAAGGCACGGAACCCGUGUCCAGACAGGCUCCUGCCUGUCAGCAGCUCCUCAUCGUUGCCACACUGCCGGAGUGUCGUCACAUCUCCCCAAGAGAAGUGAGGAGCAUGGAUUUUUAUGGGAAAUGACCUCAUUUCUAGUUGGCAACUCACCCUAGGACUUUCGUCUGUUUGUUUUUUAAACAGGGUGCCGCCUAAACAAAACACGGAGGCGGGGCCUUGGCCCGAGGUGGCUGAGGAGAGCGAGUCCCGACCUUGCCCCCUCCUCCGCAGGCCCUCCCUGGCUCCGACACCUCCGCCUCCCCCAGGGGGGUUGGGCAGGGCGGUUGUCUCGGGCUCCCAUGAGGCCAAGGGACACAGCCCAGGAAGGAUGACUUCUCACGAACCCAAAAAUCACAGAGGCAGGCAACCUAGAAAGUACCAGGUUUUAUUAUCUUUUAUCAAAAAAUCAGUAACAGACAACAGUGUGAGGGGCUACAGGAGGUGCUGACUUCUGACAUAGCCAGAGGAAAGGACACGGGGGUGGGGGGCGGAGGGGGGCUGGUAGAGAAGAGGACCCAGCCAGCUGGGAACCCUGGGUCACGGCGGGGGGUGGGGGGGAAGGUGCAGGCAGUGAGGCUGAUCCCACCCACCCCAGCCAGUGGGGGCAGGAGACGGCAGCCCACCCAGGCUGAUCCACCAAACCUCUCUCCUCUCUGGAACAUAACAAGUUCCCGAGCUGGGGCCCAGUCAGUCCUCCCCACCCCUCCCUUCGCCCAGGGAGACAAAGGUCACCCCCAGCCAAGCUGGGGCUGUGACUCGUGAAGCCAGUCUGGUUCGCCAGCAGUGCGCGCCCAUAGACAGAUGGAGACGGUCUCCGCCGGCCCGCUGGCUGCGGCAGCCCCUGGCCCCAGGUGGCAGCUGAGCACGUGAACUGCGGUCAGUGCAACCGAGGAAUGGAUUUUUAACUUGAUGCAAUUUUAAUCGACUGAAAUAGCCACAUGUGGCUGGUGGUUACCGUAUUGGCUAGCACACUGGCUAGCACAGCGCUCCAAUUGUCUCUUAAAUGUGGAGAAAGGAAGGAGCACCCGCCGGGCUCCAGGCAGAAGCUAGAGAGCAGGCAGAGCAUCUGCCCGCGCUACCCCAACCCAGGGGAAAGGCACUAGGGACGGGGCAAGAGAAAGAGGCAGAAACCCCUUCGGCCACAUCAGAACUCACUCCCUCCACCGCCCAGCAACUUCACACGGGAAACAUCAUACUA